rnacentral:tRNA from 1 species
GCCUGGGUAGCUCAGACGGUAGAGCAUCAGACUUUUAAUCUGAGGGUCCAGGGUUCAAGUCCCUGUUCAGGUGGUUUCA